CUGGGAGAGCACCUGCCUUGCACGCAGGGGGUCAAGAGUUCGAAUCUCUUUAUCUCCA
rnacentral:tRNA from 1 species